UACACAACAAUCAACAUGUCCUGUCAUGCCAUUUCAGCAUUCGCCACCUUACACAAAAUGACAUUAUUGGUUAUCUCUUUCAAGAUAACUUAAAACGACUUGGGCACAGUUUUAAAAUAAGAGCAUUAUUGAAAAACAAGUGUUUUAUCUCAAUAUUUUGAGUUUAUUGGAAACUUUAUAUUUUAUACUGAUUUAUUUUAUGAGCAAUUAAAAAGGGCUUCAAGUUAAACUUAAACACAAUAGUAUUGAAUAUCAUAUUUCACAAAUAAUUUAUGUCUUUAACAAUGGAAACAGGCUCAAAUAGCAAAGUCAGUGGACUUGAAAACAAAUUACAUGUCACAAAUGCAAAUACAGACAUGGAGGAGGUUGGUUUAAGUGAAAAAAUAAGACCAACUUCUGUGCAUAGGUCAUCGUCAGCAAGAUCUUUUCAGUCGUCAAAGACUGCUCUUGAUGAUUUUGAAGUGAUUUCCACUAUUGGAACAGGAUCGUAUGGCACAUGCAAAAAGAUCAAAAGAAAAAGAGAUGGAAAGGUUUUGGUGUGGAAGGAGCUCGACUAUGGAGCCAUGUCAGAGACUGAGAAGCAGAUGCUGGUCUCUGAAGUGAACCUGCUGAGGGAGUUGCGCAGUCCGUACAUCGUCAAGUACUAUGACAGGAUCAUCGACCGUGCCAGGACCACCAUCUACAUCAUCAUGGAGUACUGCAAGGGGGGAGACCUCGCCACCAUCAUUGCUAAACACAAACGUGACGGGCAAUACCUGGAUGAGGAGUUCAUCUGGAAGAUACUGAUUCAGCUGACUCAGGCUCUACAGGAGUGUCACCAGCGCAAGAAUGGGCGCGCUGUGCUGCAUCGAGACAUGAAGCCGGCCAAUGUGUUCCUUGACACGGACAGGAAUGUCAAGCUGGGAGACUUUGGGCUCGCCAGGGUACUGCACCACGAGACCAGCUUUGCGAAUACCUAUGUGGGAACACCUUAUUAUAUGAGCCCCGAACUCGUCAACAAUCAAUCAUACAAUGAGAAGAGUGACAUCUGGUCUAUGGGCUGUGUGCUGUAUGAGCUGUGUGCCCUCCACCCUCCCUUCACCGCCUCCAACCAGACUGAACUUAACAGGAAGAUACGCCUGGGUGACUUCAGUCGUAUACCUGCUUGCCUCUCUGAUGAUCUAAACAAUGUCAUCUCCAAAAUGCUCCAUGUUGAGGUGUCUCAGAGACCAAGUAUUGAGGAGCUGUUAGCGGACCCCAUUGUUUCCGGGAGGCGGUCCCGUAUGGAGAGGAAGCUGUCCUGGCAGCAGCAGGGUGCGGGGGAGCUCCGGGCAUGGGAGACGAAGUUACGAGACCGGGAACGGGACCUGGAAGACAAACAGAGAGAAUUGGAACGUCGUGAGAAGGAACUGAACAUCCGUGAAAAGUUGGUUGAAGACAAGGAGAAAUGUGCGUCAGUACGAGAGAAACUGGCGGAAGAGAAAUAUUCUAGGGCUGAGGCAUUACUGCUGGACUAUGAACACAAGAUGUGUAUGGACAUGGACAAGCUGCGGCUCGGAGAUGGGGCGGCAGCCAUGUCAGAUUUAUCGGGUGAUGGUCUGUCCUCCUGCCUUACAAAGAGAAAAGACGGCGACACUCCCAAGAAGAAAGUGUCCUUUGAUAUGUACGGCAAGGAAAACAGUCGCCUGAAGGACCGCUACCACGACCCUCUGUCCAAGUAUUCUGACUAUGAUAGUGCCUACAUCCAGGAUCUGUUGAAACGACAUGAUCUCAAGGAUCGGUUGUACCACAUGAAGCAUGGGGCAAUGGAUAUACGUCGUAGUGAAGACAGGUCGGGGGCGCGCUCUAGAAAUCUACUGCUAUUCAGAUAGCAAGGGUUUGGUGUUGGGAAAUCAGUGUUAAGUCUGGGAAAACUGGGCUCAAUUCAUGUGCUAAAAGUGUCAUCCCAGAUUAGCCUGUGGAGUUUGCACAGGCUUAUCAUGCACAACACUUUCUGCCUGCACUGGAUUUUUGUUUAGAGACAUCCUUUAAACCAAAAAUUCCAUUGGACUACACAAGCUAAUCUGGGAUGCCACUUUACGCUCAUGCAUUAUGCCCAGUUUUCCCUAAACAAACCCAAAUCAGUGUCUGGUCUGGUGUAGCUGCACCUUGUGUUGAAUAUCAAAUAUCAUGGUUGUAAUUUAAAUAGAUUUUGUUAAUUUAGGAUAUUAAGUAUUUUGUAUUUUUGAGAGUAUUAUUUAUUUAAUUAUUAUUAAUGUACAAGACUGACUUACCAUUGAGCUUACAUUCUGUUAUUUUUUACAUUUUUGUGCCUUAAAAUCAUGUCACAAACGUGCUUUUAAUAUUAAGUUUACAUAAUUGCCUUUUUUUAGAUGAUUGUUUUGAAUGCACGAGUGGUCAACAAUAUUUUCACAAGAGAAACCAACACAUUAAAAAAAAUGUUUGUCUACUGCAUUUUUAGCUCACCUGAUUGCUCAGGUGAGCUUUAGUGACCGGUCUUUGUCCGUCGUAUGUCUGUCCAUCCGUUAACAUUUGCUCGUAAACACUCUAGAGGCCACAUUUCUUGUCCCAUCUUCAUGAAAUUUGGUCAGAAGCUUUGUCCCAAUGAAAUCUCGGCCUUGUUCGAAACUGGGUUGUGCCGGGUCAAAAACUAGGUCACUAGGUCAAAAAAAAGAAAAACCUUGUAAACACUGUAGAAGUCACAUUUCAUGCCCAAUCUUCAUGUAACUUUGUCAAAAUGUUUGUCUUAAUGAUAUCUUGGUUGAGUUCAAAAGUGGUUCCGAUGCGUUGAAAAACAUGGCCGCCAGUGGGCGGGGCAGUUUUCCUUAUUUGGCUAUAGAGAAACCUUUUAAACACUCUAGAAGUCACAAUUUUUGCCCAAUCAUCAUGAAAAAUCGUCAAAACAUUUGAUCAAUUGAUGUCUCGGACGAGUUCGAAAAUGGUCGAGAUCGGUGAAAAAACAUGGCCGCCAGUGGGCGGGGCAUUUUUAUGUCCCCCACUAUAGUAGUGGGGGACAUAUUGUUUUUGCCCUGUCUGUUGGUCUGUCUGUUGGUCUGUUUGCGCCAACUUUAACAUUUUGCAAUAACUUUUGCUAUAUUGAAGAUAGCAACUUCAUAUUUGGCAUGCAUGUGUAUCUCAUGAAGCUGCACAUUUUGAGUGGUGAAAGGUCAAGGUCAUCCUUCAAGGUCAGAGGUCAAAUAUAUGUGGCCAAAAUCGCUCAUUUUAUGAAUACUUUUGCAAUAUUGAAGAUAGGAACUUGAUAUUUGGCAUGCAUGUGUAUCUCAUGGAGCUGCACAUUUUGAGUGGUGAAAGGUCAAGGUCAUCCUUCAAGGUCAUAGGUCAAAUAUAUGUGGCCCAAAUCGCUUAUUUUAUAAAUACUUUUGCAAUAUUGAAGAUAGCAACUUGAUAUUUGGCAUGCAUGUGCAUCUCAUGGAGCUGCACAUUUUGAGUGGUGAAAGGUCAAGGUCAUCCUUCAAGGUCAGAGGUCAAAUAUAUGUGGCCCAAAUCGCUUAUUUUAUGAAUACUUUUGCAAUAUUGAAGAUAGCAACUUGAUAUUUGGCAUGCAUGUGUAUCUCAUGAAGCUGCACAUUUUGAGUGGUUAAAGGUCAAAGUCAAGGUCAUCCUUCACAAGGUCAAGGUCAUCCUACAAGGUCAAACAUCAUAUAGGGGGACAUUGUGUUUCACAAACACAUCUUGUUCUCUAUAUGUAUAUAGUGGCAGUUUCCCCUUUUUGGCUAUAGAGAAACCUUGAAAACACUCUAGAAGUCACUUUUUUUACCCAAUCAUCAUGAAAGUUGGUCAAAACAUUGGUUUUAUUGAUAUCUCGGACGAGUUUGAAAAUAUUCGGGAUCGGUGAAAAAACAUGGCCACCUGUUGGCGGGGCAUUUUUCUCUAUAUGUAUAUAGUGAAAACGUGAACACAGUAGAAGUCACAUUUUUGGCCCAAUUUUCAUGAAAUUUGCUCAGAACAUUUGUUUCCUUGAUACGAGAGUUUGAGUUCAAAAAUGGUUCCGGUCAUUUGAAAAACAUGGCUGCUGGGAGGGGGGCAGUUUUCUCAUUAUGCCCCCCCCCCUUUCGAAGAAGAGAUGGUAUAUCGUUUUGCUUAUGUCGGUCUGUCCUUCCACCAGAUCGUUUCCGUAUGAUAACUCAACAGCGCUUAUGCCAAGGAUCAUGAAACUUCAUAGGUACAUUGAUCAUGACUCGCAGAUGACCCCUAUUGAUUUUCAGGUCACUAGGUCAAAGGUCAAGGUCACGAUGACCUGAAAUAGUAAAAUGGUUUCCGGAUGAUAACUCAAGAAUACUUAUGCCUAGGAUCAUGAAACUUCAUAGAUACAUUGAUCAUGACUCGCAGAUGACCCCCAUUGAUUUUCAGGUCACUAGGUCAAAGGUCAAGGUCACGAUGACCCAAAGCAGUAAAAUGGUUUUCUGAUGAUAACUCAAGAACGCUUAUGCCUAGGAUCAUGAAACUUCAUAGAUACAUUGAUCAUGACUUGCAGAUAACCUCUAUUGAUUUUCAGGUCACUAGGUCAAAGGUCAAGGUCACGAUGACCCGAAAUAGUAAAAUGGUUUCCGGAUGAUAACUCAAGAGCGCUUAGGCCUAGGAUCAUGAAACUUUAUAGGUAGAUUGAUCAUGACUCGUAGAUGACCCCUAUUGAUUUUCAGGUCACUAGGUCACGGUGACCCGAAAUAGUAAAAUGGUUUCCAAAUGAUAACUCAAGAACGCUUAGGCCUAGGAUCAUGAAACUUCAGAGGUACAUUGAUCAUGACUCGAAGAUGACCCCUAUUGAUUUUCAGGUCACUAGGUCAAAGGUCAAUGUCACUGUAACCUGAAAUAGUAAAAUGGUUUCUGGAUGAUAACUCAAUAACGCUUAUGCCUAGGUUCAUGAAACUUCAUAGGUAUAUUUAUCAUGACUCGCAGAUGACCCCUAUUUUCAGGUCACAAGGUCACAGGUCAAGGUCACAGUGCCAAAAAACGUAUUCACACAAUGGCUGUCAAGGUCACGGUGACUCAACUUAGAAAAAUGGUUUCCGGAUGAUAACUCUAGAAUGCUUACACCUAGGAUCAUGAAACUUCAUAGGUACAUUGAUCAUGACUCGCAGAUGAAAUAAUGAUGAAACUUGAACUGGAGGUUUGUCUGGACAAUAUCUAGGUAAAGUUUGACAUUUGGUAAAGAUUGAAUGAACCGAAUCCCCUCAUGUGAGCGAACUAGGGCCAUCUUGGCCUUCUUGUUUCAAUUUUAUUCUUGCAAACUAUGUAGUAUUUCCCUUCCACAAACCCCAGUGUUAUAAAGGACACUGUUAUAAGUGACUUUAAUUUAAAGUACAAAAACCAUUGCAGUGAACUAUUCAGAAAAUAACAGGGAAAGAAGUUGGAAUUUUAACUUGUCUGUAGUCUCAGUUCUGGCAUAGACGGAUUAGAAUGUAUUUUGAAAUUGUUUAGAUCAAAGGUUGUGACAAUUAGUCCAUCUUUAAAUAUACAUUAAGAAUAAAUUGAUUAAGGUUUUAAUGACUGUCAUAGUAAACUUACAUUCAAAACUAGCCUUGUAUUAUUGUCCCCUACCGAUUUCACCGGAGGGGACUUAUAGUUUGCGCUCUGUGUGUCCGUCUGUCUGUGAGUCUGUCACACUUUUCUGGAUCCUGCGAUAACUUUAAAAGUUCUUAAUAUUUUUUCAUGAAAAUUAAUACAUGGAUAGAUGGCAAUAUGGACAUUAUGCACGUCAUUUCAUUUUGUUCCUACAUCAAAAAUUAUGGUUGCUAUGGCAACAAAUAGACUAGAAAUACUGCUGAAAAUGGUGGUUUUCUGGAUCCUGCAAUAACUUUAAAAGUUCUUAAUAUUUUUUCAUGAAACUUGCAACAUGGAUAGAUGACAAUAUGGACAUUAUGCACGUCAUUUCAUGUCGUUCCUACGUCAAAAAUUGUGGUUGCUAUGGCAAACAAAACAAACAAAAAAUCUGAAAAUGGUGGAAUUUCUGACAAUGGUGGAGCCGGUAGGGGAUAAUAUUGCUUGACAAUAGCCUUGUUCCUUUUAUAUUUCCACAUAAAAUAACAUGUUAAGGCAAUAAUGAUUUUAUUGACCGAGUAUGAACCUGGGCUGGUAUUCACAAAGCUUAAGUACAUUAUAACUUAUGUUGAACUGAGAAUCAAAUUGUGUUCAAUAAGAAAACAACUGUUUUCUGAUAGUUUAAGGAUAAUCAUUAUAGCAAUAUUUACUUGUUGGAAACAUCUGAUUUUUAUACAACAUUGCCAGAGGCUUAAGGAAUGUUAGGAAUUUUCUAAAGUUUAGCUUAAGGAACUUAAAC